rnacentral:rRNA from 1 species
UACGGAGGGGGCAAGCGUUAUUCGGAAUUAUUGGGCGUAAAGGGCGCGUAGGCGGCUAGAUGUGUCAAAGGUGAAAUCCCUCGGCUCAACUGAGGAACUGCCUUUGAAACUGUCUGGCUUGAGGCCGGGAGAGGGUAGCGGAAUUCCCAGUGUAGCGGUGAAAUGCGUAGAUAUUGGGAGGAACACCAGUGGCGAAGGCGGCUACCUGGACCGGUUCUGACGCUGAGGCGCGAAGGCCAGGGGAGCAAACGGG